UACGAAGGGGGCUAGCGUUGCUCGGAAUCACUGGGCGUAAAGCGCACGUAGGCGGGUCCUUAAGUCAGGGGUGAAAUCCCGGAGCUCAACUCCGGAACUGCCUUUGAUACUGGGGAUCUUGAGUCCGGAAGAGGUGGGUGGAACUCCGAGUGUAGAGGUGAAAUUCGUAGAUAUUCGGAAGAACACCAGUGGCGAAGGCGGCUCACUGGUCCGGUACUGACGCUGAGGUGCGAAAGCGUGGGGAGCAAACAGG
rnacentral:rRNA from 1 species